rnacentral:rRNA from 1 species
GACGAACCGUGCGAACGUUGUUCGGAAUCACUGGGCUUAAAGGGCGCGUAGGCGGGUUCGCAAGUCUGUGGUGAAAGCCUCCAGCUUAACUGGAGAAGUGCCGUGGAUACUGCGAAUCUUGAGGAGGGUAGGGGCGUCUGGAACGGUCGGUGGAGCGGUGAAAUGCGUUGAUAUCGACCGGAACUCCGGUGGCGAAGGCGAGGCGCUGGACCCUUUCUGACGCUGAGGCGCGAAAGCCCAGGGGGAGCAAACGGGG